rnacentral:tRNA from 1 species
GCUUCAGUAGCUCAGUCGGAAGAGCGUCAGUCUCAUAAUCUGAAGGUCGAGAGUUCGACCUCCCYUGGAG